UACAGAGGUCUCAAGCGUUGUUCGGAUUCAUUGGGCGUAAAGGGUGCGUAGGUGGCGGGGUAAGUCAGGUGUGAAAUUUCGGAGCUUAACUCCGAAACUGCAUUUGAUACUGCCUUGCUUGAGGACUGGAGAGGAGACUGGAAUUCAUGGUGUAGCAGUGAAAUGCGUAGAGAUCAUGAGGAAGACCAGUGGCGAAGGCGGCAUCCUGGACCGGCAUUGACGCUGAGGAGCGAAAGCCAGGGGAGCAAACGGG
rnacentral:rRNA from 1 species